rnacentral:rRNA from 1 species
GAUUAACGCUAGCGGCAGGCCUAAUACAUGCAAGUCGAACGGGAUUGAUUGUAGCAAUACGGUCAUGAGAGUGGCGCACGGGUGCGUAACACGUAUGCAACCUACCUGUAACUGGGGGAUAGCCUCCCGAAAGGGAGAUUAAUACCGCAUAACAUUAUGAAGUGGCAUCACUUUAUAAUCAAACCUCCGGGGGUUACAGAUGGGCAUGCGUCCGAUUAGCUAGUUGGUGAGGUAACGGCUCACCAAGGCUCCGAUCGGUAGGGGGUCUGAGAGGAUGAUCCCCCACACUGGUACUGAGACACGGACCAGACUCCUACGGGAGGCAGCAGUAAGGAAUAUUGGACAAUGGGCGCAAGCCUGAUCCAGCCAUGCCGCGUGAAGGAUGAAGGCCCUAUGGGUCGUAAACUUCUUUUAUACGGGAAAAAACCCCCCGACGUGUCGGGGGUUGAUGGUACUGUAAGAAUAAGGGUCGGCUAACUUCGUGCCAGCCGCCGCGGUAACAC